AGCGAACGCUGGCGGCAGGCUUAACACAUGCAAGUCGAGCGGGCACUUCGGUGUCAGCGGCAGACGGGUGAGUAACACGUGGGAACGUACCCUUUGGUUCGGAAUAACGCUGGGAAACUAGCGCUAAUACCGGAUACGCCCUUUUGGGGAAAGGCUUGCUGCCGAAGGAUCGGCCCACGUCUGAUUAGCUAGUUGGUGGGGUAAUGGCCUACCAAGGCGACGAUCAGUAGCUGGUCUGAGAGGAUGAUCAGCCACACUGGGACUGAGACACGGCCCAGACUCCUACGGGAGGCAGCAGUGGGGAAUAUUGGACAAUGGGCGCAAGCCUGAUCCAGCCAUGCCGCGUGAGUGAUGAAGGCCUUAGGGUUGUAAAGCUCUUUUGUCCGGGACGAUAAUGACGGUACCGGAAGAAUAAGCCCCGGCUAACUUCGUG
rnacentral:rRNA from 1 species